UAGACUAUAAAAAGAAGGCUGUAAACUUUCUUUAUCGUGCUAUUAAGGGUUUAA
rnacentral:tRNA from 1 species